rnacentral:misc_RNA from 2 species
AAGUCGUAACAAGGUUUUCGUAGGUGAACCUGCGGAAGGAUCAUUAGUGAAACACAAGAGUGCUCUUUACUGAGGCUCGUUUUAACUAUCCAUUACACUUAGUGCACUUGAAAACACCUUCAAACUCGUUCAUCCCUUUUAACGGGGAUAACUCGUUUGAUUGUAUUUACUUUAACCCCUUUGAAAUUUUAAACAAAGAUGAUGAUGUAUAACCAUGAAAUUUGAAAGAACAACUUUCAGCAACGGAUUUCUUGGCUCUC